rnacentral:tRNA from 1 species
GAAUGACUUCAGUCGUUCGGGCGGGGAGCAUCUGGUUUGGGACCAGAGGGUCGAAGGUUCAAGUCCUUUCAUUUU